rnacentral:misc_RNA from 1 species
GAUGAAGAACGCAGCGAAAUGCGAUACGUAGUGUGAAUUGCAGAAUUCAGUGAAUCAUCGAAUCUUUGAACGCACAUUGCACCUCUCGGUAUUCCGGGAGGUAUGCCUGUUCGAGCGUCAUUAUCACCCCUCAAGCCCGGCUUGUUGUUGGAUGCAGCGCUUAUCCCGCUCCUCCCAAAGAUAAUGACGGCGUCUGCGACGACUCCUGUACACUGAGCUUUCGGGCACGUACACGGCUAGAAGUCCAGACCCGGUCGCCGUCCCCCCCGCGGGGACACCCAUUACCACAAGGUUGACCUCGGAUCAGGUAGGAAUACCCGCUGAACUUAAGCAUAUCAAUAAGCGGAGGA